rnacentral:sRNA from 1 species
UACUAAAGCAGUAUACUAAAAUUAUAUGAUAAUUAGUUUUAAGCUAGUGGCCAGAUCCUCAACGACACGAAAAUAUCAGAAAUACAUCACAGAACUCCAAUAAUAAUAAUAAUAAUAAUAAUAAUAAUAUCGUGAUCAUCAUCUUCAAAUUAAUAAGGCCUUUAACUUUUUUUCAGCUAAGGGUUUGAAGAUAUAUUACAGGCCUAUCAAACAUUUAGGAAUAAUUUUCCCUAAGGUAAGAAAAGUUGGCCUAGAAGAAUUCAGUGAGAUUGUGGGUUUCAGGCAGGCAGGUGUCUCUGGUCCUACAAGUCCCUCUAGGCACCCCAGGGACCCGCACCCAGGGACCCAGGGGUGGGGUGGGGGUAGGGGGUUAGGAACCGUACCAGAGUGUGCGAGCUACCUUGAACUCAAAUCCUGUGAGCCCAGAAGCGAAGGAGGCCCCUCCCAGUGGGGACUGCGCCUGGACCAGUGGCAAACUGAAGCCCGCCUUACACAGCGUCCAGGCAGCGUGAGUGGGACCCACCCGAAGCCCCUGGGUGCAGCCCAACACCGCAGCAGACAGGGAGGGGGUGCGCGGCUGCCUCCAGCAGAGGCGCGAACUUUUACACCUACUUUUUGUUUCACUUCGGGUUUGGCGAGGCUUGUGGUACCGCCCAGGACUGGGUCCCCAGACACUGAUUUUCCACCGAACUGGGGAAUUUACUUCCCUAGCCCCGUGGCCUCCACCAGCUCUGAGAACUUUCAUCCCGGGUUACCAAGACCAGCUCCCAAGAGUGGUAGGCCAUCCGUCUGGACAACAACAAGGACAACAAUCGUACUAAGCUCUGCGGGAGGGGAUUGUCCUGUUAGGCUCCAGCAGAAAAGAGGCUACGAUUGCAGCAACCCGGAGUUGAAAUUAAGGAGAAACCAGGGAGCGCGAAGGCUGGAGAAACACACCAGGCUGAGGCUGCCUGGCGCUCCAACUGUCUGUGCAUCUAUCUGAGGCCGUCUGGUUGUCCCUCAGUGCUCUCAAAGUUUGACAAAUCACAAGGACCAGGAGCGGAUCGCCCCGAGCGUUUCCCAUCCUUCCCGCCGCGUGCGCCCCUCUCCCAGGAACCGAUCUCACCAACUCCCGGUCCCGCGCGCAAACUUACGUUUGAUCUGCCGGGGUUUACUCUGCUUUCGCCGGGACAUCUCGGCCGCGGCCGCUGCCGCUGGGGUUCCUGCGGUGUCCGCGGUCCCUGCUACCGUUCCCUGGGUUGUCGCUGCCUCUGCCUCUGGCCAGGCUCGGGCCGCCGCCGGCCGGACUCCAGGUGCUCCGUGCGCGCGGGAUCCCGGAGCUAGGCUCCUCCGGGAGCCGCGGAUCCACGUUUGGAGAUGAGCAAGCAAAUGAGAGGCCGAGCGAAGGGCCAGAGAGAGUGUGACAGAGAAGAGGGGAGGGGGCGACGGGGAGAGCGAUGGGGCUUUUGGGGGGAGGAUGGGAAUCUAGGAGCGAUCGGCCAGGCAGAGAGAAAAGGGGAAGAAGGGGGUGGUGGGGUAAGAGAAGGAAGAGAAGGAGGGAGGGAAGGAGAGCGCGCAGGGGGACCGGGGCUGCGAGGGGCGGAGGGUGCAGGAGGAGGCGCGCACUCGCUCCCCGUGUCCCCGGCUGCCGGGCAGAGACUCAGGCGCCGCCGCUGCCGCUCCGGGCCGCGCCGCGCUCGCACUGCUGCGGGAGGUGGCGAGGCGCGCGAGGGAGGGGCGCGCCCGGGCAGUGGGGAGGGGAGACUAUGCCAUCAGCGAAAGGAGGAUUGGCUGCAUCCAAAGCCAGUCCGGAUGCAAACUCACAGCCCGGCCUCGGUCGCGUGGAGUGCAAGGGGAUCGCGGCGUGGGUGGGAGUUGAAGGGGUUGAUGGGGGGGGGGAGACGUGAGGUUUGGAGGGGGGGCCACCUUCUGCAUUUGUCACCGCGUCAAUGCUGGACAGCUGCCAGGCCACCCUUCCCCCGCUCCCCUUCCAGCAACUUCUUCCAACAGCCUCUUCCAACGGACCCUCUAACUCUCCUCCCUAGUGCCUCGCCCAUCUAGCAGGGCACAAAGAAAUCUCAGUCUCCUUCCAUAAACUUUGUGCUUCCAGUUACUGCUCCCCUCCUGGAGCCCCUGCCCUCCGCCCUUACAGUUUCUUGGCAGGAAGGUUAGGCCACUGGCAAAGUCCCCGGCGAAAGCCAGCUGAUCACAAAUGCCAACUGUGUGUCUUGGGGCCCGUUAAGUCCUCUCAUCUGCCCAGGCUCUCAGGAGACCAUUUCAUCGCUGUCAGAGUUCCCAGGAGACUGCUGCGGACGCGGACCAUCCCCCACUAGGCCCACCAGAGUGGGGUGAUGAGCUGCGCUCCAAAUGUUUUUCUGCAUCUUGCAUGAGUUUCCAUUUGAAAUAGUAAAAGCCCCGGAAUCGGGGUCAGGCAGAUAUUUUCCUCACAUCCAAAAGGACGAAGGUUAGCUGGAUGAUUCGCUGUAGGUAGGAAGGGAACUAUCAUCUCUAAUAGGAAAUGCUAACUUUGUACGAAGUCGUGUGGAAGUUCUGCAGCUCCACCCUGCCCCUGUGACCUCCCAUUCUCCUAGCUCUGCCAAAGGGAAGCACCAUGGAGCUAAUAAAAGGUUUGAUCUUGUCCUAAAUUUUCAAACAGGUAAGACCCAACGACUAUUUCCUGGUUUUUUGGUUUAUUGAAUUCUGUUCCUUUCAUAUUUAUUCAAUGUAUGUUUAAGGUUUGAGAAAUGGUAAGGCACAAGAGACCAUUAUUUUGAGGUGAUUCAUAGCAUUAUUUUGUUAAAUUAAGGUGAGAAAAGUUAGCUUAGUUUCCCACAGAUUUGUAUAGAGUGAGUACAAAAUGCAGUUCUUUUAGUUGUUCUGGAAGGGAUGGGAACUGUUGAACCAGCUACUUUAUGUAAUCAUUUUUUUUUUUUUACUAAUAAACUCCCAUGAAGUUGAUAUGGGUUCCCUAGAUGCUGCCAAUGCUUUCCCAAGGAGGCUAUGAACUUGUCCACUCUGACCUGAAAUUGUAUCACCUUUCUUUGGUUGACUAGCAUCCGUUUGAGCUUCACCAAAUGAUGCUCUAAAAGGGUCUGGGCUGAUUGAGCACAAUGGAGGAUUGCAGGAUGCUCCAUGUGCAAAAGGCACUCUACUCGGUGUUGUUAAUUACUCCAUCAGGUCAUCUUUUUAAAGGUGUAAAGAGUAUGAAAGGUAUGGCUGGGCAAAUCUUAACACAAGGCUGAAGACCAAUUGUGUCUUUUCUUACAUCCCAUUAGCUGUAUGACCAUAAGAGGUUAUAACUGUACAGUACAUGGUCCUUGGCAAUGAAAAAGGCAGUAAAUGACCAAGUCCCUGUCUGGAAGAGCCAAAAAAUUAUGAUCCUAAGUGCCAUGAAAAGCAAGGUUAUUUGUAUUUGUACGGAGUGAGGGGUGCUAAAAAAAAAAAAACAAAACAAAACAGAGACUACAGCUUUUUACCUCCUUCAUUCCCAAAUCAUUACAGUUGAAUUGGCAUGCACAGAAUCUUAGAAUUGGAUUUAUUGUACACCACAGUCUUCAUAGACCUUUCACAGAAUCGGCUGACUUAUAUCACCCAAAAGGAAUGUCCACUGGAAUUAAAAUAAUACAGCAAUUAGUGUUUCUUUUGGCAGCUGAAAUGGUUAAAUAUGCAAAGCAAAAGCGAUACGAAUAAAUCGGAGCUCAAUAUUCAGUUUAAGAGCUGAAAGGAAUAAAACUCAGGAUAUUUAAGGCGAGAUUGAUAAGGUAACCAGAGUACAUUGUUAUAAAUAGUAUACUAGGUUCUCUGAAUGCAGAAAUGUGUAUCAAUUCCAGUUUGUAUGAAUGAAAUAAGCCGAAUACUCCCACGUCUAUUUCUCAUCAUUUUUAAAUGAGACUAUGAAUUGUAUUUAAGGUUCAAUUUUUAUUUUCUCUAGUUUAACUCACCAUGGCUAUAAAAAUGAAAAGACAGCAAAACCUAUAAGCAAUUAUCUCUGUCCAAAUGGAUCUAGCAGCUCCAAACCACAGCUACAUGGCCACCAAACAAUGAUUAUGAAAACCACAGUUGAGCAAAGCAUCAGGAAACGAUAUUGCAAAACCACAGCAACAAAUGUGUCUGUGAUAUUGAAAACCACAAUUCACAACUAAUACCCCGUGUCGCCGAUGACUAUUAACUAUACAUGUGCAAAUGUAUAAGUAACUGCACAAAAUAAUUUCUCAUUUACUUAAAAAUGAAUUAUUCAUUUUGAGACUCACUGACUUAAUGCCUACAUACUGGUUUGUUUAGAAAAGUUUCUGCUCCUCGUAAGAAAACCUUUUAAAUCCCAUAUAAAGUGAUAGUUAAUUUAAAAGCAGAGAACAUGCACCUCCAAUAAGAGCACCUCGAACAUUUCAAGGAUUGAUCUGCAAUCAAUCUGAAAUGAAUACCUACCUUUCUAAUGUUCUUCCUAAAGUCUCAGAAGUAAAAAUGCAUAUUAGGCGAGGCUGAUUAGGAAAGGAGCAGUGGAAAGAAUUUGAUUACAAACUCAAUGAGAAUGUGGUUGUAUGUACAUUGAAAUAGAUACUCUUAGCAAGAAAUCGUAUCUGACAGAAAAUGAAAGACCAGUUCCAAAAUUAUUGUGCUAUGAAAAAAAAAUCAAGUGUUUACCAACAGAUGGGUGAGAUGAUAUUAUUUACAUGUUUAUAAAGGUUGUUAUAGCUUUAAAAUUAAUAUACAAAGUGCCCAGUUUAACAUGAGUGUCAAAUGACUGGGCAUAAAUUAUUCAGGGUAAGUAUGCUCCUUGCACUAUUUGGUCCAUACUUACCCUAAUCAUACUCGAAAUUUAUCUGAAAUUCAAAUUUAACUGCAUAUCUUGUAUUUUAUCAAGAAAGCCUACAAAUGUAGCAUUUUUGCAUCUUUGUGUAUAUGCAUAUUUAUAAUACUGCUUAUAGAAAAGGUACAGAAACCUUGAAAUACUUCCUGCAGUCGUAAUUGAUGUAAUAUUUAAAGAAGGAAAGAUAGAAGAUACAAAUUUCUCUGCAAAAAUUCUAAAUAUUUUGGCACAGUACAGAAAUGCAACUCUGGGAAUAGGUGGAAUGCAUUCAUGUCUGUCUUAUUCUGGGAUUUGUUUUUAAAAUGAGCUUUUAUUUUUCUCCAGGGGAUCAAGAAAUUGAUAAAGCAACCUUACAGACCACAUCCUAUUAGAUAGCAAGCUGGACUCUUUAUUACAAAAAAAAAUUAUAAAAGUAUCUAAUAUUUUGCUCCCGGGAAGCAAACAAACCCUGAGACUAUUAAGUGAGUAAUUCUGUAACAUAAAUUAAGUUUCAACAUAAAGCACAGUGCCAUCUAUCCAUUGUUGACUUUGGACAUUCACACCAAGGAGAAAAGAGAACCAAAACUAAUACCUGCUGUGUGGAUUUCAGGCUUUGAUGCUCUCUGAAAUCAUAGCAUAAUACUAAGAUAAAUACUGCAUCCAAGUGUCUGCUAUAGAGAUUAGUGAGUACCAUGAAGACGUGGACAGUGCCUGUACCUGACAAGGUCAUUUGCUUACAAUUAAAACAAGAGUAAAACCCUAUGUCAUGAAGAUGAACCUUAAGGUCUGCCAUGGUUUGUCCUUGUGUUAAAGGCUUGGUUGCCAGUUACUGGGCUUUGGGUAAUGAUUAGAUUAUGAGACUUAUGAACUCUUGAACUCCUCCUAUUUCUUCUUCUCUUCCUCUUUCUCUUCCUUCUUCUCACCCCCAUCUCUCUUUCUCUUUUCAGAAUCCUGUGAGGUGUUGGCUUGCCUCUACCUUCUACUAUAUACUACACACACUCUACCAUGAUGUUAAAAACAAGUGAACCUCAAGAAACAUGUCCUCUCAGUUGAUCUUUUUUUUCAGGUAUUUGUCACAGCCACUAACACAAGACCUAAUCUGACUUCAGAAUUACAGUUUGGAAGCUAUGGCUUUGAUUUUAAUAUGCACAGAGAUGUAAAAGUAUGCAUUUAUUUUCCUGAACACCCAUGCAUACACUUAACAAACUACCAACACAAAAUUAAGAACCUAAAACUUAAUGUAUCCUUAGAUAAAACAAUUAUGCUUACCCUUUUUUUGAUAGUUUUAUGCUUGUGGCUAAUAUUGAUUGUAAAAUUGUCAAGAUCCAGCACCACCCAGGAGACAAGCAUCCAGAAACACCCGAGAGAAAGAGUUUAGGUUUGUUCUGGGCAGAGCAGUGAGGGAUUAUCUAGAUCAUAUUAACUCUGUUAAAAACCACACUUUGAAGAAGGUCAGCACAAUUCUAAACUAAACUAAAAUUGCAAAAUCUAGCUAGCUGAGUAAAAACAUUCAUCAUUUCUGCUUCCUGAUUGCAGAAGUGAUGAGGUCAACUGUCUUUGGCUCUUGUCAUUGGGACUUCACACUAAGUGGGACUGUACCCAUAAUCCAUGAGCCCAAAUGAGCCCUUCUCAAAAGCCACACCCCUCAAGCUGCUUUUGCCAGGGUAUUUGAUCACAGCAAUAAGAGUAUAACUAAGAUAACUAUGUUUAUUUGUUUGUUCCUUUGUUUGUUUUAGUUAAUACCAAAUUAACUAAAAUUUUAUUCUCAGCACACAAAACAAGUUAAAACCUCUCGGAGGGGCUGAGGAAAUGCCUCAGUGAGUAAAAAGCUUUCUGGGCAAGUAUUUUCAAGGACUGGGGUGCAGAUCCCUAGCACUCAAUAGGUGCCAGGGGCACGUGGGCACAAAUGGGACAGCAGCACUUGUGAACAGAGACAGGGCAUCCUGGGAGCAAAUGGGAUGCCCAGACUAGCUGAGUGGAACACUCCGGGUUUAAAAGGAGACCAUGCUUUAAUAUACAAAGUGGAGAGAAGUCAAGGAAGAUACCCAAUGUCAACCUCUCACCAUCAUAUCCUCUCAUAAGCAUGUGCACACACACGUGAAACACAUAUACACAAAGACACACUGUACUCUUGAGGUAGUAAAUGAACGAAUGGGCAAGCAUAUAAAUAAAUAAACAUCUCUGUGUGCAUGGCAGUUGCUUUCCAAGAAAUCCAACUGCAUGAAAAAGAUAGAGAACAUGUUUUCAUCCUUGAACCUGAGAUCCAUUCCUUACCACGUGAUGAAUUAACACCUUGGGGAGGAGACACACUGCAGUAAUGUCUUUGAGGACUGCGAAACACAUCAGGACUCCACUAGCACAACUGAUACCCACAUCUGUAUCCAUUCUGCUGAUCAGAGCUACAAGAUCGGCGCUGAAUGGCACCAUCUGACAUAACAAAAAAAUGCAUCACACUGGAUGUAAAGGUUAGAUAUAAUUAUUCCGUUGAUGGGUACUUCCGUUGGUCCAACAUGCUCACGUAUGUGCAAAGAAAAUUUUUGUCAGUGAGAAAACGGAAGUUCAGAAUGAGAGCAUGCACCGCAGCUGGAGAAGCAGGAGCCCUGCACUGCAGCCAAUUGCAGCUUUCCUUUUGUCACGUAAUCUUCUACAAUAGGAGCAGUGACAAAACCUUAAGCAAAUUGGCAGCUUCUGGACAUGUAAUCAGAAGUCUGCAUUCUAGUUUGGAUACCUCGACCUGGACAACUCCAUUCGUCCAUUUCCCUCCUUCAGACUGCAUGCCUUAUAGUUUACUAAGUUCUCAAACAACUGAAUCUGCAGAUCUACACAUGAUUUUCAGGGAAUUAAUUUUGAACUGUAGAUUUCUAAGGAUGGGCAGUUUGAUCUAAAUGGUUCUGCGGUGUUUCCUUGCCUAGCCUAACCUGUAAAACCCUCUUGAUAAUGUUCUCAAUUUGUCAGAUGUUGCAAGAUAUUUAUUCUUUUUUAUUCUCUUUUCUUGUCUAUAUGCUGAACGAGUCUAUACAGAGAAGACAGAGGAGUUAUA